rnacentral:rRNA from 1 species
GAUGAACGCUAGCUACAGGCUUAACACAUGCAAGUCGAGUGACCGGCGCACGGGUGAGUAACACGUAUCCAACCUGCCCUUUACUCGGGGAUAGCCUUUCGAAAGAAAGAUUAAUAAACGAUAUACAGGAUGGGGAUGCGUACCAUUAGUUUGUUGGGGAGGUAACGGCUAACAAAGCCUUCGAUGGAAAGGUGUUCGGAGAGGAAGGUCCCAAACAUUGGAACUGCAACACGGGCCAAACUCUUACGGGAGGCACCAGUGAUGAAUAUUGGUCAAUGGGCGCUAGCCUGAACCAUCAAAGUAGCGUGAAGGAUGAAGGCUUAUGGGUCGUAAACUUCUUUUAUAUAAGAAUAUGUAUUAUAUGAAUAAUGAUCGGCUAACUCCGUGCCAGCAGCCGCGGAAAUUC